AUUGAACGCUGGCGGCAGGCCUAACACAUGCAAGUCGAGCGGAUGAAGGGAGCUUGCUCCUGGAUUCAGCGGCGGACGGGUGAGUAAUGCCUAGGAAUCUGCCUGGUAGUGGGGGAUAACGUCCGGACACGGGCGCUAAUACCGCAUACGUUCUGAGGGAGAAAGUGGGGGAUCUUCGGACCUCACGCUAUCAGAUGAGCCUAGGUCGGAUUAGCUAGUUGGUGGGGUAAAGGCCUACCAAGGCGACGAUCCGUAACUGGCCUGAGAGGAUGAUCGGUCACACUGGAACUGAGACACGGUCCAGACUCCUACGGGAGGCAGCAGUGGGGAAUAUUGGACAAUGGGCGAAAGCCUGAUCCAGCCAUGCCGCGUGUGUGAAGAAGGUCUUCGGAUUGUAAAGCACUUUAAGUUGGGAGGAAGGGCAGUAAGUGAAUACCUGGCUGUUUUGACGGUACCAACAGAAUAAGCACCGGCUAACUUCGUG
rnacentral:rRNA from 1 species